CUACACCCACCAAGACAAAGUUUGUGCACUUUCCCAAAUCCUUCCUCAUCAACUCCCCACCAUUCAUUGCACAGAGCAAAAAUGCCACUGUGGCUAAAAUUGUUGUCCUUACUUGCAGUCGUCCAUGGUGUCAAGUCUCAAGUCCAGUUGGUGGAGUCUGGAGGGGAUGUGAGAAGACCUGGGGAGUCCCUCCGUCUCUCCUGCCAAGCCUCUGGUUUCACCUUCAGUAGCUACUGGAUGAACUGGGUGAGACAGGCUCCAGGGAAAGGACUGGAAUGGGUAGCCUACAUAGGUACAGGCUCAAAUCCUUCCACUUAUUACUCAGCCAAAGUCAAGGGCCGCUUCACCAUCUCCAGGGAUGAUGCCAAAAGCCAGCUGUAUCUGCAGAUGAACAAUCUGAAAGCAGAGGAUACGGCUGUCUAUUACUGUGCAACAGGCACAGUGAGAGGAA